rnacentral:rRNA from 1 species
UAAGGAAUAUUGCUCAAUGGGAGAAAUCCUGAAGCAGCAACGCCGCGUGGAGGAUGAAGGGUCUAUGACUUGUAAACUCCUGUAAAGAAGGAAAAAAUUCCCAUUAGAUGGGAGAUGAUGGUACUUCUGGAGUAAGCCCCGGCUAACUACGUGCCAGCAGCCGCGGUAAUACGGAGGAUCCGAGCGUUAUCCGGAUUUAUUGGGUUUAAAGGGUGCGCAGGCGGGAUGUUAAGUCGGCGGUGAAAUUUUGCAGCUCAACUGUAAAAGUGCCUGCGAUACUGGCCUCCUUGAGUGUGGAUGAAGUAGGCGGAAUUUGUGGUGUAGCGGUGAAAUGCUUAGAUAUCACGAGGAACUCCGAUUGCGCAGGCAGCUUACUAAGCCACAACUGACGCUCAUGCACGAAGGCGUGGGGAUCAAACA